rnacentral:rRNA from 1 species
GGGGGAAUGGCGGGGGACUGCAAUGCAAGUCGAGCGGUUACAUCUGCAGCUUGCUGUGUGCUGACGAGCGGCGGACGGGUGAGUAAUGCUUAGGAAUCUGCCCGAUAGUGGGGGAUAACCUGGGGAAACCCUUGCUAAUACCGCAUACGACCUACGGGAGAAAGGGGGCUCCUGCUCCCGCUAUGGGAUGAGCCUAUGUCUGAUUAACUAAUUGGUGAGGGAAGGGCUCACCAAGGCCGCGAUCCAUAUCUGGCCUGAGAGGAUGAUCAACCACAUCCGGACUGAGAGACGGCCCGAACUCCUACUGAAGGCAGGCCUGGGGACUAUUGGACAAUGGGGGAAAGCCUGAUUCAGCCAUGCCGCGUGUGUGAAUAAAGCCCUCCGGUUGGAUUGAACUUUCUUUUAGGAACAAAGCCUACGCAGAUUAAUACCCGCUAGCAAGGACAUAUCUCACAGAACAAGCAGCCGGCUAACUCCGUGCCAACAGCCGCGGUAAUACAGAGGGCGCAAGCGUUAAUCGGUAAUUACUGGGCAUAAAGGCGCGCGUAUGUGGCCUAAUUAGCCGGAUGAUAAGAGCCCGCGGGCUCCAACCUGGGAACAGCAUCCGGAACUGUCAAGCUAGAGUGCUUGAGAGGAGAGGAAGGUAGAAUUCCCGGUGUAGCGGAGAAAAGGCAUACAGAUCGGGAGGAACACAAGGGGAGAAAGGCGGCCUUCGUGGACUGACACUGACACUGAGCUGAUGAAAGCGUGGGGUAGGCAAACAGGAUUAGAUACCCUGGUAGUCCACGCCAUAAACGAUGUCGACCAGUCCCGUGGGGGUGCCUAGAGCACUUUGUGUGCGAAGUCAACGCAAUAAGUCGACCGCCUGGGCGAGUACAGGCACGCAAGGUCUAAAACUCAAAUGAAUAUGACUGGGGGCCCGCACAAGCGGAGGAGCAUGGUGGACUUAAUUCGAUGCAACGACAAGAACCUUAACUACGUCUUGACAUCCGGAGAAUUUGGUAGAGAUAGCAUUACUGCCUUUCGCGAACAGAAGAGACAGGUGCUGCAUUGGCUUGUCGUCACGCCUCGUGUUGUGAAAUGGUGGGUUAGAGUCCCGUAACGUAUAGCGCAACCCUUGUCCUUAUUUGCCAGCGUGUAAUGGCGGGAACUCUAAGGAGACUGCCGGUGACAAACCGGAGGAAGGGGGGGACGACGUCAAGUCAUCAUGGCCCUUACGAGUAGGGCUACACACGUGCACAAUGGUCGGUACAAAGGGUUGCCAACUCGCGAGAGUGAGCCAAUUCCGAAAAGCCGAUUUCAGUCCGGAUCGGAGUCAACAACUCUUUCGGAGAAGUAGGAAUCGGUAGUAAUCGAUGAUCAGAAUGCCACGGUGAAUAUGUUCGGGCGCCUUCCCACACCGCGUUGUCACCCCAUGGGAGUGGACUGCACCAGAAGUUUUAGCAUCACGCAAGAGGGCGCUCACACAGCGGUCGUUUAUCGGUUG